GCCGAGCGUAGUGGCGCGCGCCUGUAAUCCAACUACUGGGGAGACUGAGGUGUGAGGAUAGCUUGAGCCCCAGAGUUCUAGGCUUUAGUGCGCUAUGUGCACGGGUUGUCCGCACUAAGUUGGACGUCAGUGUGGUGACCUCCGCAGAGCAGGGGCCCACCAAGUUGCCUGAGGAGGGAUGAACCAGCCCAGAUCAGAAACCGAGCAGGUCAAAACUCUGGAACUCCAUGCUGAUCAGUAGUGAGAUCGCUCCGUGAAUGGCCACUGCACUCCAGCCUACGCGAGACUCCAUCUCU
rnacentral:SRP_RNA from 1 species